CCAGGGGGCCGGGCAGCCGCGUCCUUCGACAAGCUCAGGAUGAGCGGGAAGAAGGCCGAGGAAAGUCCGGGCUCCACGAAACAAGGGUGGCGGGUAACGCCCGCCCGGCGAGUGCCUUCGGGCGCGAAGCCGAGGGAAAGUGCCACAGAGAGUAUACCGCCGAUGGAGGGAAACCUCACAGGCAAGGGUGAAAGGGUGCGGCAAGAGCGCACCGGGGUUCUGGCAACAGCGCCCGCAUGGCAAACCCCACCCGGAGCAAGGCCAAAUAGGGGCCUCGCGCUGUAACGCAGCAGGGGCGUUUCGCCCCGAGAGGCCCGGGUUGGCUGCUUGAGCCAUGGAGCGAUCCAUGGCCUAGACGAAUGGCUGCCCCUGCGGGGCUGGUGUGUGAACAUACCGCUCGCAGGACAGAACCCGGCUUACAGGCCCCCUGGCAUU
rnacentral:RNase_P_RNA from 2 species